UGCGAGAAUAAAAGUUUGAGCACGGCGAUGCCCGCCAAGCAGGACACCGCUCACUUACCGGCAGGCCUACUCGCCAUUUUAACCCGAGACAGAAGCGUUGCCCGCUGGGUGAAGUUCUACCUCAAGCCAUUAUAGUGGAAGUAUUACUCAGCGCUAUACGCAGUACUAUAAAGUGGUGAAUGGCUGCUCCCAGAACUACACUAGCCAAAGUGAAGUUGGAAGAUAUGAAGAAAUGCAGUACAUUUGUAAGUUGGCACAUCACCUUACAAGAAGUACUCAGUAGGGACUUCCCUGGUGGCACAGUGGUGAAGAAUCCGCCUGCCAGUGCAGGGGACAUGGGUUCGAGCCCUGGUCCGGGGACAUCCCACAUGCC